UUCGCAAUGCCCGAAAGGGUGACGAAGCGACGCCGCGUGGGUGAGGAAGGCCUUCAGGUUGUAAAGCCCUGUCAGGAGUUAAGAAAUGUAAGUGCGCUAAUAUCGCAUUUAUUUGACGAAGGCUCCAAAGGAAGUCACGGCUAACUCUGUGCCAGCAGCCGCGGUAAUACAGAGGUGGCAAGCGUUGUUCGGAAUUAUUGGGCGUAAAGAGCACGUAGGUGGGUUUGUAAGUCAGAUGUGAAAGCCUUCUGUUCAACGGAAGAAUUGCAUCUGAAACUGCAAGUCUUGAGUGUAGGAGGGGAGAAUGGAACUUCUGGUGGAGCGGUGAAAUGCGUAGAUAUCAGAAGGAACGCCGGCGGCGUAAGCGAUUCUCUGGCCUAUUACUGACACUCAGUGUGCGAAAGCUAGGGGAGCAAACGGGAUUAGAUACCCCGGUAGUCCUAGCCGUAAACGAUGGGCACUAAGUAGAGGGGUUUU
rnacentral:rRNA from 1 species